UACAGAGGGGGCAAGCGUUGUUCGGAAUUACUGGGCGUAAAGGGCGCGUAGGCGGCCUUCUAAGUCGAACGUGAAAUCCCCGGGCUCAACCCGGGAACUGCGUCCGAUACUGGAAGGCUUGAAUCCGGGAGAGGGAUGCGGAAUUCCCGGUGUAGCGGUGAAAUGCGCAGAUAUCGGGAGGAACACCGGUGGCGAAGGCGGUUCUCUGGGCCUGACCUGACGCUGAGGCACGAAAGCGUGGGGAGCAAACAGG
rnacentral:rRNA from 1 species